CCUACGGGAGGCAGCAGUGGGGAAUAUUGGACAAUGGGGGAAACCCUGAUCCAGCAAUGCCGCGUGAGUGAUGAAGGCCUUAGGGUUGUAAAACUCUUUCAGAAGUGAAGAUGAUGACGGUAACUUCAGAAGAAGCUCCGGCUAACUCCGUGCCAGCAGCCGCGGUAAUACGGAGGGAGCUAGCGUUGUUCGGAAUUACUGGGCGUAAAGGGCGUGUAGGCUGUUAGGUAAGUCAGAGGUGAAAGCCCUAAGCUCAACUUAGGAACUGCCUUUGAUACUAUCUUACUAGAGAUCGAGAGAAGUUGGCGGAAUUCCAAGUGUAGAGGUGAAAUUCGUAGAUAUUUGGAAGAACACCAGUGGCGAAAGCGGCCAACUGGCUCGUAUCUGACGCUGAGACGCGAAAGCGUGGGUAGCAAACAGGAUUAGAUACCCUGGUAGUCCACGCCGUAAACGAUGAGUGCUAGCCGUUUGUGAUUAAUCACAAGUGGUGCAGCUAACGCGUUAAGCACUCCGCCUGGGGAGUACGAUCGCAAGAUUAAAACUCAAAUGAAUUGACGG
rnacentral:rRNA from 1 species